rnacentral:rRNA from 1 species
AUUGAACGCUGGCGGCAUGCCUUACACAUGCAAGUCGAACGGCAGCGGGGGAGAAGCUUGCUUUUCCUGCCGGCGAGUGGCGAACGGGUGAGUAAUACAUCGGAACGUGCCCUGUAGUGGGGGAUAACUAGUCGAAAGAUUAGCUAAUACCGCAUACGACCUGAGGGUGAAAGUGGGGGACCGUAAGGCCCCACGCUACAGGAGCGGCCGAUGUCUGGAUAGCUAGUUGGUGGGGUAAAGGCAUACCAAGGCGACGAUCAGGAGCUGGUCUGAGAGGACGAUCAGCCACACUGGGACUGAAACACGGCCCAGACUCCUACGGGAGGCAGCAGUGGGGAAUUUUGGACAAUGGGCGAAAGCCUGAUCCAGCAAUGCCGCGUGUGUGAAGAAGGCCUUCGGGUUGUAAAGCACUUUUGUCCGGAAAGAAAUGGCUCUGGUUAAUACCUGGGGUCGAUGACGGUACCGGAAGAAUAAGGACCGGCUAACUACGUGCCAGCCGCCGCGGUAA